rnacentral:rRNA from 1 species
GACGAACGCUGGCGGCGUGCCUAAUACAUGCAAGUCGAGCGAAUCUUUAGGAGCUUGCUUCUAAAGAUUAGCGGCGGACGGGUGAGUAACACGUGGGCAACCUGCCUAUAAGACUGGGAUAACUUCGGGAAACCGGAGCUAAUACCGGAUAAUCCUAUUCCUCUCAUGGGGAAUAGCUGAAAGACGGUUUCGGCUGUCACUUAUAGAUGGGCCCGCGGCGCAUUAGCUAGUUGGUGAGGUAAUGGAUCACCAAGGCAACGAUGCGUAGCCGACCUGAGAGGGUGAUCGGCCACACUGGGACUGGAGACACGGCCCAGACUCCUACGGGAGCUG